rnacentral:lncRNA from 1 species
CGACUCAUGAAAGCUGAGAGAGGGUCAAGUCAGCCCUUGUUCCUCACAUGGUUUAUGCUGUGAGCAAGCCUUCUGCGUUCGAGGAGCUUGGAGAAGCUGCCAGGCUGUAGAUCAGAAGUGGGGCUGGCAGUUCUGGGGCCCUCUGGGCAGCAUCUCUGUGGGGUGAGUCUUCCGACUGCCUCCUGGAGUCCCAUGGCUAUUCUAAAUCUGCAGUGUGCAAGGGAAAAAGACGGAAGAAGAGAAGGAAAAGGAGGAAGAGGAGAACAAGAAAGCAUCCAGAGAGAAAGGGAUGAAGGAGGCGGUGGACGUGGUGGGGUCUGGAGCCGUCCAACUGCCUCUUGCCUGGAGACUAGGACCCAGGACCGCCUGGGAAGACCCACAGGAGGAGGACACAUGUGUGCUCCCUUCCACGUCCGCAGCUCACGGUGCUUCUUUUAAAGCUGUCAACAAGAUCUGUCCUGGUUUUCCUUCAUGUUGGCACCGUCCUUUGAAGGUCUAAGAUGGUCCAUUAGUGUGGAAAUUGGAAAGAUACUAGGCUGGGAGCCGGCCACAAUGUACCUGGGGUGGAGAUGGAAAUCCAAAGGUGACAGAUCACCCAGAGGGAUGUGGCACCGUGCAGGGCCCUGCGGGCGCCUGGGCACAGGACCUCGUGCUCCUAUUUCUUUGAUUCUGGGAAGCAGCCUUCAUUCAGCCUCCAUGAUCUUUCCUGAGGUCCAAAAGUGAAGAGGAACUCAAAAGCCUCUGGAUGAAAGUGAAAGUGGAAAGUGAAAAAGUUGGCUUAAAGCUCAACAUUCAGAAAACGAAAAUCAUGGCAUCCGGUCCCAUCACUUCAUGGGAAACAGAUGGGGAAACAGUGGAAACAGUGUCAGACUUUAUUUUUGGGGGC